UGAGACCUACGGGAGGCAGCAGUAGGGAAUUUUCGUCAAUGGGCGCAAGCCUGAACGAGCAAUGCCGCGUGAACGAGGAAGUUCUUCGGAUCGUAAAGUUCUGUUGAAGGGGAAAAAGAGCGGAGAGAGGAAAUGAACUCCGAUUGAUAUUACCCUUCGAGGAAGCCACGGCUAACUACGUGCCAGCAGCCGCGGUAAUACGUAGGUGGCAAGCGUUGUCCGGAAUUACUGGGUGUAAAGGGAGCGUAGGCGGGAAAGCAAGUUGAAUGUUUAAGGUACGGGCUCAACCUGUACAAGCGUUCAAA
rnacentral:rRNA from 1 species